ensembl:lncRNA
AAAAAGAAUGUAUACAUGUAUGUGUAACUGGGUCACCAUGCUAUAUAGUAGAAAAUCGACAGAACACUGUAAACCAGCUAUAAUGGAAAAAAAAUAAAAAUCAUUAAAGAUGAAGGUAAAAAAAAAUAAAACUUUUAGAAACGUGGUUGUUGAAAAGUGGUUACCAGGAGCUGGUAGGGUGGGGGAAAUGGGGAAAUGCUGGUCAAAUUUGUAGUUAUAUGGGAAGAAGAAGCCUAGAGUUCUAAUGUAUAGGUGUGAUGACUAUAGUUAAUAAUACUGUGUUGAAUAUUAGAAAUAUGCUAAGAGAAUAGAUUCAAGAUGCACUCAUCAGGGAAAAAAUGGUAACUAUGUAAGAUGACAUAUCAAUUGCUGUAAUAUAAUCACUUUACUAUUUUCCUAUAUAUCAAAUCAUCUUACUGUAUGCCUUAAAAAUCUACUUUUAAUAAAAAUCUAUAAUCAUAAAAAGAGAGAGUGAAAUAUUAUCAGGUGGAAUUAAUAUCUGUCAUCAUUAUAUAUUUACAUGCUGCAUUGUACAGCCAUCUCCUUUUUUAAUUUAAAAAUUUUUAUUUUAAUAAUUUAUUUUUACUUGUGUAUUUUUACUUAGUGGUUAAAUCUGAGACACAGCUGUGACCUAAGCUGCAGCUAUGGGCAAUGCAGGAUCCUUAACCCACUUUGCUGGGCCAAGAAUCAAACCUAAGCUCCCACUGAGUCAAUGUUGGAUCCUCAACCCACUGCACCACAGAGGGAACUCCCAAUUCUUAAAUUUGAGAGCUUGGUCAAUUUGAAGUCUCUUUCACAGAGCUUGCAUCAGGAGUCCAAUUCAAGAAGGGCCUUUGAAGUUUGUAAAGUAAAGGUAAU